UUCCAUUUUUUUUUCCCUUUCCUUUCUUUUUUUUCCCACAUUUUCUGUCCAUUUUCCUCUCUUUUCUUCUUUUUCUUCUAUUUUCUUUUGAAAUAUUCUUCUUGUACAACAGAGGUUGAUAAUCCUCAUUAACAAUGUACUUAUAGGAGGAUGAACUAACGAUUUUUUUUAUUCAGUGUCAGCCCCAUACGCGGCGGGGGCCGUUCAUAUAGCACAACUGCUUUCCAUUUCCUCUUUCUUUCUCCCUUCACGUUUUCUUUCUUCUUCUCCCUUCAAUUUUCUCUGCUCCGACCCGCCACAAGAUUAUCGUUCCACCACCUUAGAAUCAGCUAUCAAGCCCAGUAACCUAAAGAUCCAAGUUAGCACUAGAGAAAGCUUAGAGGUAUCGUUAUUGAUUUUUAUUUGUGGGGUUGUUAUCGAUUUUGUUGGAAAAUAUUGUGAAAUGCAAAUUAGGUUUUUCGAUUGUUAUAAAUUCAUUGAUUGGGUUUCUAUCAAUUCAUUUAUUGGGUUGCAGUGGAAUAUAUGAGUUCUACAGUAAAGUGAAGGUUCAAACUCCAUUGAAAAUGUUAUGGGUUCCAAAUUAUCAUAAUGUUUUGAGUCAAUUCAUUUAUUGGGUUGUAGUGGAAUAUCUGAGAUUUACAAUAAAGUGAAGGUUCAAACUCGAUUGAAAAUGUUAUGGGUUCCAAAUUAUGAUAAUGUUUUGUGUCCUAAACUUCUGAUUAAUAUUGUGCUUCAACCAGUUUAUGAGAUGGAAUCGUUGUUCUGUGACUUUGUUUUGUCUUUGUUCUGUGUAUCCCCGUUGGCUUGGGUUUCCAUUGAACCUUAUUCUGUCACACUAUUUUUAUGGCACGUACUAUAAAAUGCUUAUUCAACUGUCUUAACUUACUGCUUUAUUAAUCAAAACUCUGCAAUAAAGAAACUAUCUUAAUUCUCAUUCAGCCCGUAUCCUGCUGUUAGUUUUUACUUAUAAAGAUACUAGAACCAAAACUCUUCAUAAAGCAAUGUUUAAUCAGGGAAAUUAUAUGCAAAAAUUGACUUACAAGUACUGUUCUUGCCUCAGCACUUCACUUAGCUAAGGAUAAUAAAUUGAGUUUGAAAAGUGAAAAUUCAAUUAUCAAUUUUGUCUUGUUAAAUAAAGGGUGUGAAUCUUUCCAUAAUUUCAUUGAUUUGACAAUAUUUGAAUACAAAAAGCUAAAGAAUUGCUUUAUAGUUGCAACUUAACCCCUCUAUAUAUGCCCUCCCCCUUUACAGUUAGGCCACUGCCCAUGAUCACUCAGUA
rnacentral:lncRNA from 1 species